UAGGGAAUCUUCGGCAAUGGACGGAAGUCUGACCGAGCAACGCCGCGUGAGUGAAGAAGGUUUUCGGAUCGUAAAGCUCUGUUGUAAGAGAAGAACGAGUGUGAGAGUGGAAAGUUCACACUGUGACGGUAUCUUACCAGAAAGGGACGGCUAACUACGUGCCAGCAGCCGCGGUAAUACGUAGGUCCCGAGCGUUGUCCGGAUUUAUUGGGCGUAAAGCGAGCGCAGGCGGUUAGAUAAGUCUGAAGUUAAAGGCUGUGGCUUAACCAUAGUACGCUUUGGAAACUGUUUAACUUGAGUGCAGAAGGGGAGAGUGGAAUUCCAUGUGUAGCGGUGAAAUGCGUAGAUAUAUGGAGGAACACCGGUGGCGAAAGCGGCUCUCUGGUCUGUAACUGACGCUGAGGCUCGAAAGCGUGGGGAGCAAACAGGAUUAGAUACCCUGGUAGUCCACGCCGUAAACGAUGAGUGCUAGGUGUUGGGUCCUUUCCGGGGCUCAGUGCCGCAGCUAACGCAUUAAGCACUCCGCCUGGGGAGUACGACCGCAAGGUUG
rnacentral:rRNA from 1 species